rnacentral:rRNA from 1 species
UUUAAGUUUCAAUCUUGCGACCGUACUUCCCAGGCGGCAGACUUAACGGCUUCCCUGCGGCACAGCAUUGGCCAUAAACCAACGCUUCACCGAGUCUGCAUCGUUUACAGCUGGGACUACCCGGGUAUCUAAUCCGGUUUGCUCCCCCAGCUUUCAUCCCUCACUGUCGAACGUGUUCUGGCAGACCGCCUUCGCCACUGGUGGUCUUCAAAGGAUCAGAGGAUUUUACCCCUACCCCCCGAGUACCGUCUGCCUCUCCCACUCCCUAGUCUUGUAGUAUCUCCAGCGGCCCAUCUGUUGAGCAGGUGGAUUUAACCGGAGACUUGCAAGACCAGCUACGGAUGCUUUAGGCCCAAUAAUCGUCCUGACCACUCGAGGUGCUGGUAUUACCGCGGCGGCUGACACCAGACUUGCCCACCCCUUAUUCGCC